rnacentral:rRNA from 1 species
GAUGAACGCUGGCGGCGUGCUUAACACAUGCAAGUCGAACGAAGCACUUUAUUUGAUUUCCUUCGGGAUUGAUUAUUUUGUGACUGAGUGGCGGACGGGUGAGUAACGCGUGGGUAACCUGCCUUGUACAGGGGGAUAACAGUUGGAAACGGCUGCUAAUACCGCAUAAGCGCACAGCAUCGCAUGAUGCAGUGUGAAAAACUCCGGUGGUAUAAGAUGGACCCGCGUUGGAUUAGCUAGUUGGUGAGGUAACGGCCCACCAAGGCGACGAUCCAUAGCCGACCUGAGAGGGUGACCGGCCACAUUGGGACUGAGACACGGCCCAAACUCCUACGGGAGGCAGCAGUGGGGAAUAUUGCACAAUGGGCGAAAGCCUGAUGCAGCGACGCCGCGUGAGCGAAGAA